CCCCUCUCUCUCUCUCUCUCUCUCUCUCGCUCUGUUAACUCUUUGGUUCUAUCGCACACGCAACGGUGUUGGGGAGAAUCACAUUAAUUGGUGGAGGAGAAACAGAUGAAAAGAAUGGUUUGGUCUCGAGAAAACGCUGUCGAUGGUUGCUUAGACACUCUCAAACCGCUUUCCCGGGACAGUGGAAGAAGAAGAAGAAGAAGAAGAAAUGAUGGUCAUCCAUCAGCGGAACCUGCGAGCGACGAGUUCGUAUCGGCCCUGGCGGCCGGCAUGGGUGCCAAGCUAAUAGUACAAGUCUCACCGGAGGCAUCCCAAUCCACGGGAGCACUCGCCGCCGCAGCUCGACAAACCGGAGGCAGACUCGUCUGCAUCAUCCCGGAGGAGGUGUCGCUCGCUCCCACGAAGGAUGUCGUCGAGGAGUCCGGCGUGGACGACGCGGUGGAGUUCAAGGUGGGCGACCCGUAUCACGAGCACAUCGGCUGCUCUCUGGUGGGCUGCAAGUCCGACCCGUACGCAGGCCUGCUCGAGCUGCUCCGCUUCAAUCCGAGGAGUUCGGUGGCGAUCGCUAACUGUCUGCGGGGAGGGAGGAGGGGCCGAUAGGCGAAGAUGGGAUGGAGGUGACGAUGAUAGGGAAGAUUGAGGAGGUGGGAAGGACGGGGACGACGGCAGGCGGCGUGGAACGGCGGAAGAGCGCGAAGGGAUCAGGGCGGAGGAGGCCGCGCAGCAAAAGCAGAUGGGUGAGGAAGAUCGAUGAGAGGGGAGAGGAGCACUUCUUUAGGUUACCCAUUUCCCUCGAACCUGUACGCGUAUCGGGUGGCGGCAGAAGUGGGUGAUGCGGCCGAGAAGAAGAUGAUGACGGUGAUGAGCCAUGAAGUACUACUACUGGUUGAUAGAUAUCUCGUAUGCCUAAUGCUGCACCACUUACUUCAUGGAAAUCUCAUCAUAUCAACAGUUCUCGUUCAUCGGAUCACCUCAUGUUGGAUCUGAUCCUCGAGGGUUUCUUAUGCUAUGGGUUGUGAUCAUACAAAGAGUGGAUAGAAUUCUGAACCACGAGAGAUGAACAUUAUAAAUUUCGCGUCGACUGUGUCGUCCGCUGAUGGCGAUCUCUCUUUGCUGAUAGAAUUCUACAAGAACUGAAGAGGUGCUGAAACCAUUUGUAUCUUCCCAAGUACGACUACCUUGAAGACAUGUCAAACGUCCAGAUUCAUUGUUACCAUGUUGAUUAUUUGUUAUUGUUAUUAUUUUUUCAAAUUAGAGUAUUUGAGGUUAUCUUAAUCUUUA